UUAAGCUCAAGGAGAAAUUGAAGCCAUAGUCGUGCCUGUUUGCUUAGCAUUCCUAUUGACAACUCUUCUGGGAGUGCUGUUCUGCUUUAAUAAGCGAGACCUAAUUAAAAAACACAUCUGGCCUAAUGUUCCAGAUCCUUCAAAGAGUCAUAUUGCCCAGUGGUCACCUCACACUCCUCCAAGGCACAAUUUUAAUUCAAAAGAUCAAAUGUAUUCAGAUGGCAAUUUCACUGAUGUAAGUGUUGUGGAAAUAGAAGCAAAUGACAAAAAGCCUUUUCCAGAAGAUCUGAAAUCACUGGACCUGUUCAAAAAGGAAAAAAUUAAUACUGAAGGACACAGCAGUGGUAUUGGGGGGUCUUCAUGCAUGUCAUCUUCUAGGCCAAGCAUUUCUAGCAGUGAUGAAAAUGAAUCUUCACAAAACACUUCGAGCACUGUCCAGUACUCUACUGUGGUACACAGUGGCUACAGACACCAAGUUCCA
rnacentral:sRNA from 1 species